UGUGAAUACGCAGUACGCAGUACAUUGGGAAUAUACCUCACCAGCUGCAAUCCCUCGCAUUUAACUGGGGGACGAGAAAGCGCCCCAAGAAAUGGCAAGGAAAUGGAAGAUACAAAUCUUUUCCCCGAAGGAUUCCCCAGUGUCAACCCGUUUGCCUGUUUCCUAUCAAAAAGCCAGUGAGACAUUUUUGGGGGUUGGGGGACACCGACCGUAUGAAAAACUCAGUAGUUAAUUCCACAGCCCAAUCCUGAUUUUUUUUUACCAGGCGGGUUGCUGCGUGAAUCCCCCAACGUUUAUGGUUUAUGAAUUCAUUACCAUAUCGUAUCCAAUGAGGGAAUAAGUUAUUCCGCCCUACAAGC
rnacentral:sRNA from 1 species